CAUUGUAGCUUGCUACAGAUGACGACCGGCGCACGGGUGCGUAACGCGUAUAGAACCUACCUUUUACAUAGGGAUAGCCUUUAGAAAUGAAGAUUAAUACCUUAUAGUAUUGAGACUUGGCAUCAAGUUUUAAUUAAAGAUUUAUCGGUAAAAGAUGGCUAUGCGUCCUAUUAGUUAGUUGGUAAGGUAACGGCUUACCAAGACAUCGAUAGGUAGGGGUCCUGAGAGGGAGAUCCCCCACACUGGUACUGAGACACGGACCAGACUCCUACGGGAGGCAGCAGUGAGGAAUAUUGGACAAUGGAGGCAACUCUGAUCCAGCCAUGCCGCGUGUAGGAAGAAUGCCCUAUGGGUUGUAAACUACUUUUAUACAGGAAGAAACACUGGUAUGUAUACCAGCUUGACGGUACUGUAAGAAUAAGGACCGGCUAACUCCGUGCCAGCAGCCGCGGUAAUACUGAUGGUCCGAG
rnacentral:rRNA from 1 species